UGAAGAGGAAUAAAUGGUACCGUAAGCCACGAUGCAGAUUCAUUAGUACGGGCAUUGUUAACCAAAUCUUCAUGUAAUACACAUUUGAAUUACAUCACGCCCGUCGGGCGAAAGGGAAUCUGGUUCCUAUUCCGGAACCCGGCAGCGGAACCGCAUACAAUUCGGGCCCUCGUAAGAGUGUUCGUCGGGGUAACCCAAAAUGACCUGGAGACGCCGUCGGGAGAUCCGGGAAGAGUUUUCUUUUCUGUAUAAGCGUUCGAGUUCCCUGGAAACCUCUAGCAGGGAGAUAGGGUUUGGAACGCGAAGAGCACCGCAGUUGCGGCGGUGUCCGGAUCUUCCCCUCGGACCUUGAAAAUCCAGGAGAGGGCCACGUGGAGGUGUCGCGCCGGUUCGUACCCAUAUCCGCAGAAGAUCUCCAAGGUAAAGAGCCUCUA
rnacentral:ncRNA from 1 species